rnacentral:rRNA from 1 species
UACGGGGGGGGCAAGCGUUGUUCGGAAUUACUGGGCAUAAAGGGCUCGUAGGUGGCCAACUAAGUCAGACGUGAAAUCCCUCAGCUUAACUGGGGAACUGCGUCUGAUACUGGAUGGCUUGAGUUUGGGAGAGGGAUGCGGAAUUCCAGGUGUAGCGGUGAAAUGCGUAGAUAUCUGGAGGAACACCGGUGGCGAAGGCGGCAUCCUGGACCAAUACUGACACUGAGGAGCGAAAGCCAGGGGAGCAAACGGG